UAUCGGAUUGUCUGGGCUGCUCAGCAGUCCCUGGAAAUAGCCCUCCAUCAGACCGUACCCUAAACCGACACAGGUGGACUGGUAGAGAAUACCAAGGCGCUUGAGAGAACGAUGUUGAAGGAACUCGGCAAAAUACCUCCGUAAGUUCGCGAGAAGGAGGCCCAGUUUCUACGCAAGUAUUGACUGGGGGCACAAACCAGGGGGUGGCGACUGUUUAUUAAAAACACAGGGCUCUGCGAAGUCGCAAGACGACGUAUAGGGUCUGACGCCUGCCCGGUGCCUGAAGGUUAAAAGGAGGGGUGAGAGCUCCGAAUUGAAGCCCAGGUAAACGGCGGCCGUAACUAUAACGGUCCUAAGGUAGCGAAAUUCCUUGUCGGGUAAGUUCCGACCUGCACGAAUGGCGUAACGACUUCCCCGCUGUCUCCAACAUCGACUCAGCGAAAUUGAAUUGCCUGUCAAGAUGCAGGCUUCCCGCGGUUAGACGGAAAGACCCCGUGCACCUUUACUACAGCUUCGCACUGGCAUCAGGAUUGUGAUGUGCAGGAUAGGUGGUAGGCAUCGAAGCCGGGACGCAAGUCCCGGUGGAGCCUCCCUUGAGAUACCACCCUUCGCACUCUUGAUGUCUAACCGCGGUCCGUUAUCCGGAUCCGGGACCCUGCGUGGCGGGUAGUUUGACUGGGGCGGUCGCCUCCUAAAGCGUAACGGAGGCGCGCGAAGGUUGGCUCAGAGCGGUCGGAAAUCGCUCGUUGAGUGCAAUGGCAGAAGCCAGCCUGACUGCGAGACUGACAAGUCGAGCAGAGACGAAAGUCGGCCAUAGUGAUCCGGUGGUCCCAAGUGGGAGGGCCAUCGCUCAACGGAUAAAAGGUACGCCGGGGAUAACAGGCUGAUACUGCCCAAGAGUCCAUAUCGACGGCAGUGUUUGGCACCUCGAUGUCGGCUCAUCUCAUCCUGGGGCUGGAGCAGGUCCCAAGGGUACGGCUGUUCGCCGUUUAAAGAGGUACGUGAGCUGGGUUUAGAACGUCGUGAGACAGUUCGGUCCCUAUCUGCCGUGGGUGUAGGAUACUUGAGAGGAGUUGCCCCUAGUACGAGAGGACCGGGGUGAACGAUCCACUGGUGGACCUGUUGUUGCGCCAGCAGCAGUGCAGGGUAGCUAUGAUCGGAAAGGAUAACCGCUGAAGGCAUCUAAGCGGGAAGCCCCCCUCAAAACAAGGUAUCCCUGAGGGCCGUGGAAGACCACCACGUCAAUAGGCCGGAGAUGUAAGCAUGGUAACAUGUUCAGUUGACCGGUACUAAUCGCCCGAUAGGCUUGAU
rnacentral:rRNA from 1 species